GCGGUAACUCUGACCGUGAUAAAGUAGCAUAAUCACUCGUCACUUAAUUGGUGACUGGAAUGAAUGGCUGAACGAACCUUCCUCUGUCUCCAAGAAAAUUCCGGCGAACUUGAAAUGGCAGUGAAGAUGCUGCCGAGCAACUGCAAGACGAAAAGACCCUAUCGAGUUUUACUGGAAGCUUGCAAACCUAAAAGGGUGUUAACCUGCAUGCCCUAAAAAACUGCAAGCCCGACAGUUUGGUUGGGGCGACCACCCCUAAGAAAGUAUCAGGGGAACUCUAAAGGUGAUUACCAAAUGGAAAAUGCCUUACUGAAAACAAACAAGUCAAUCAGUUACUAUGGGUAGGACAUAAUGACCCGUUACAUAAGUCAUGGAAUGUAACGACCACGAAAAAAAUUACCGUAGGGAUAACAGGGUAAUAUUUUCGGAGAGUUCAUAUCGAUGAAAAUGUUUGCCACCUCGAUGUUGAAUUGUGAUAUCCUGGGGGUGCAGCAGCUCCUAAGGGUUGGUCUG
rnacentral:rRNA from 1 species